GCCAGGCAUGGUGACAUGUGCCUGUAGUCCCAGCUACUGGGGAGGCUGAGAUAUGAGGCUCCCUUGUGCCCAGGAGUUUUAGGGUGCAGUGAGCUAUCAUCACACCACUGCACUUCAGCCUGGGCAGCACAGAGAGAUCCCAUCUCCA
rnacentral:SRP_RNA from 1 species